AAUCACAGAACAGGGAAUAGUAAGGGUUCUCACAGGACUUUGCAAAGGUUCUCAGAGGCGAGCAGAGGAAAAGCACUUACGCCAGACUCCAGGGAGAAGCUUCCUGAGCUGACUCUUGAAGGAAAGGACUACCCAGGUGCCUUUGAAGAGGAUGGGGAGAGUUUUCCUUGCAGCAGGAACAGGUUGUGCAAAACCUGGAGGAGUCUUCAUUUGGCCUAAAGCAAAACAGCAGACUAGUCAAAAGCUUCAGAUCAGCUGAUACAACCACACUCUGAAGACCACACCCCGGAUGCCCUGAUGAGAUUCGGACAGUCCAGAAGUUAAGGCAGAUGCUGUGCAUUUGCAGUGAGAAUCAUUUCCUGCCUCUGGCAUUUCUCAAUUCUUUAACAGAAGUUGACUUUAACUUAAGUAUGAGAGCACUGGAUUCCCCACUCCUAAAUUAUCCAGUUUUAAAGAUGAGGAGUUUAGAAGAAGCUCAGUAACUUCCCAAAGUCACAUGGCUAAAAAGCAAUGGCACCAAGAUUCAAACCCAAUCAAUCAUGUACACCUCCCCUUAAGAAAAUUAACAACGAUGAUAAGAAAGUCUACCGAUUGCCGAGGACUUGCUACGUGCCCAGCAUAUGUGAUUGGCACUUUACCUAUGUUUUUUCACCUAAUCCUUCCAGCAACACCAGGAGACGGUUCUCAUCUUCAUUUUACAGUUUGGACUUGGAGCCUGUCUUCUCCUGGACAGAGCUGCUCAUCACAGCAAAGUCUCCUUUCUCAGCACUUCCUUCCCACUGAAAAGCAGGCCUGAUGCCACCUCAUCUUCAAAGCCCCUGGUGGGUAAACUCCUGUUCCCCUUCCAAGGCCCUGGUCAAAUGCACCUUUAUGUGGGAGGCCUUCCUAGCUCCCCAAGACAGAGGUAGAUCAACUACAUUCUGGGUGCUGGGACACAACAGUGGAGAACACAUAGGUGAUAGGUGGCUCUUCUCUUUCUGAAGCUUGAAGUCCAAUGGAACAAUAAACAAAACAAACAAACCAAA